rnacentral:rRNA from 1 species
UACGGAGGGUGCAAGCGUUAUCCGGAUUCACUGGGUUUAAAGGGUGCGUAGGCGGGUUUGUAAGUCAGUGGUGAAAUCCCCGAGCUUAACUUGGGAACUGCCAUUGAUACUGCAAAUCUUGAAUUUUCUGGAGGUAAGCGGAAUAUGUCAUGUAGCGGUGAAAUGCUUAGAUAUGACAUAGAACACCCAUUGCGAAGGCAGCUUACUACGGGAAUAUUGACGCUGAGGCACGAAAGCGUGGGGAUCAAACAGG